rnacentral:rRNA from 1 species
AACAAACGCUGGCGACGUGCCUAAUACAUGCAAGUCGAACGGGGUAGCAAUACCUAGUGGCGCACGGGUGAGGAACGCGUGGAUAAUCUGCCUUAGAGUGGGGGAUAACUAGUCGAAAGAUUAGCUAAUACCGCAUAAGACCACAGGAGCUGCGGCUCUAGGGGUCAAAGGUUUUUCGCUCUAAGAUGAGUCCGCGUAAGAUUAGCUAGUUGGUGAGGUAACGGCUCACCAAGGCGACGAUCUUUAACUGGUCUGAGAGGAUGAUCAGUCACACUGGAACUGAGACACGGUCCAGACUCCUACGGGAGGCAGCAGUAGGGAAUAUUGCACAAUGGAGGAAACUCCGAUGCAGCGACGCCGCGUGAGUGAUGAAGGCCUUCGGGUCGUAAAGCUCUGUCGCAGGGGAAUAACACAAUGAAUGUACCCUGUAAGAAAGGAUCGGCUAACUUCGUGCCAGCCGCCGCGGUAAGAC